rnacentral:rRNA from 1 species
UUUUAUUUGAGAGUUUGAUCCUGGCUCAGGAUGAACGCUGGCGGCGUGCCUAACACAUGCAAGUUGAGCGAUUUACUUCGGUAAAGAGCGGCGGACGGGUGAGUAACGCGUGGGUAACCUACCCUGUACACACGGAUAACAUACCGAAAGGUAUGCUAAUACGGGAUAAUAUAUUUGAGAGGCAUCUCUUGAAUAUCAAAGGUGAGCCAGUACAGGAUGGACCCGCGUCUGAUUAGCUAGUUGGUAAGGUAACGGCUUACCAAGGCGACGAUCAGUAGCCGACCUGAGAGGGUGAUCGGCCACAUUGGAACUGAGACACGGUCCCAACUCCUACGGGAGGCAGCAGUGGGGAAUAUUGCACAAUGGGCGAAAGCCUGAUGCAGCAACGCCGCG